GGGGUGACAGCCAGCAAUAAUCCACAAUGCUGUACUGCAUGUAGCCCAGGAAAAAGCCAAACGCCACAUCAGUGACGUUGUGCCGCCCAAGCAUGACCCUGGAGAGACCCAAGACGAAGGCCCACAGGACCACCAGCACCCUCAGUGGAAUGGCCAGUACCAGGUGGUUCAGGAUGAACCGCGACACCAGGGCGGCCCUCGUGGCAUGACCCGAGGGAAAGGAGUACUUGUCCACCGAGAGGGUGAAAAACAUGUCCAUCUGAUUGUGCGCCGGUCGGCGCCUGCGGACCAACCCUUUAAUCACAGCCACCAGCAGUAGGUCCAACAGCAGGGCGAAGAGCAGGUUCAUCAGCACUUCGCGCCCGGCCCAGCUGUCGCUCCUAAGCAGGCAGUAGAGGGUGCCCAGCAACCAGGGGAUGCCAUGUCCUGAGAUCUCCAGCAGCUUCAUCAGGGGCCGCACGCUGCCCCAGGCCGAGCUCUCCCCAGCACACACCCCCAGCUUCUUGGACAGCCACAGGUCGAUGGCCAGCAGGGAGCGCAGGGCGAUGCCCAGGAAGGACGGGUUCAAGUUCAUGCCGGCGUCCUCCGGCGGUGGGGCAGGAGCUACUUGUGCAGGGCACGCGGCAGCCAGCGGGAAGGAGCCGCGCCGGUGCACCGGGCUGUCGGACGCGCGCAGCCGGGCGCAGGCGGGGUCCGCGCCCGAGCGGCAGCUCAGCAGCGACUGGAACUCGAACCUGCCGCUGCCGCCGCCGCCGCCGCCGUGGGCCGGGCUGCCCGGGACGCUGCUUCCGCCCGAGGAGCCUAGCGGUCGUCCCUCGAUAGUCCUCCGGGGGCUCGGCAUCGCGGCGGGCGGCCGGUCCCAGGGACCGGGCCAGACCGGAG
rnacentral:lncRNA from 1 species